CAUCAAAGACCACAUAUGGCUUCUUAGAUCCACAUUUCAUUCAACCAAUUUCGAAUUCUAUAGAUGAACGGACAGGUGAUCAUUGGAUGUUGAUGGCAAUUUGUCCUCAACUUAAUGAAAUCUAUUGGUUUGAUUCAAUUGGAGGCCAGCCACGUGAUGACAUCAAAGAUAUUGUUGAAAAGUGUGUCAAUUCAGCAAAGUUGUUGAGAAGCAAUGGAUCAACU